rnacentral:lncRNA from 1 species
CACAUUCUAGGCCCUUCCAUGGACUGACCGGACCCCAGGUGCCCAGGAGAAAUCAUGAAAGUAACCCAAACUCCAGGCUUCACUUCUCUCACAUGCAAAGAGGAGAAAGCCCCUGUGGGGUACUGUGACCCAAAAGGAAGCCUUUCAAGAUGGCAGCUUUGCCUCUGCUCAGGGUAUGUUGCCAUGAACCACGAGGCUGCACAGAGAUUAUCAGCCACACUGUGGGGAUGUCAGAGAGCCCCCUCGGAUCCAAACCCACCCUGCUUC